rnacentral:lncRNA from 1 species
GGGAAACACCCUGUAUCCCAUAAAUUAUGAUUAUACCAAUGAAAAGUAAAAAAAAAAAUUAUAAAAAGAGGCCGAUCUAUUAAAAUGUUUGCACCCAUAUGCUCAGUCAUUCCAAGGUGGAAAUCUGCUGUCAUGGGUGUAAUCUUAAGGUCAGCUCAGAAGGGAGGCAGGGGAGGGAGGCACAGAGACGUGAACAUGGGUGAGACUGAACUGUUCUCCAAAAGGAACAGCCAGCACACCUUUAAACAUUACUGUGAAAUAUUAGAAUUAUGAAAAACAUGUACGGAGCUGGGAAAUGGCUACGGUAUAUUUUAUGGAUACAUACACUCAAUAUGGCCAUGAUGAUGUGGAAUUUUUUAAAUAUAAGAAAUAAAAAUAUCAAGAUGUCCCUUGCUCUUUUGUUCCUAUUUCUAAGCUUCUACAAUGACAUAAAAUGUAUAUUAUUAUGAUUAAUAAUAUACAUUUUCUUUCUUUUGAGACAGGAUCUCAGGUAACCCUGGCUGGCCUUAAAAUGGCCCAUAAUAUUGAAUUUCUGACUCUCCUGCCUCCACUGGCCCAGUGCUGAGUUUAAGGCUCUCACCACCAUGCCUGAUGUUUGUUCUGAUUAUUUUUAAAGAAACUUCAAAAUUUAAAGAUAAUUCACAAGAAGAAACAAUGUAUAUAAAAGGGGAAAAAAAAGCGUAGGAAGCGGCUUGCCUUUCCAGAGCUCUCCUGGUGCCAGAGCCACGUGGGCUCCACCCACAGAGCCGUGUGGCCUCCACUCACGGAACCUCCACAUCUGGUCACUGGAGCGGCAAUCCACUGCCUGGCUUUGUUUUUCCCUUUCUUCAUAGGUAGUCACUUAAUUGGAGAGUUAUUUGGUACUUGUGUUUGUAUUUGAACACACACAUGGACUAAGUGUCCCCUCCACUGUGUUAAGCAAGUAGCACGAUAGCAUUAAACUCGCCUCCCUCCGUGUGCAGCGUCAUCCCCGUCCAUCACAGAUGAGAUUCUCUUCAUUGCCUUAAGCAGAAACUCCGGACUUUAAACACUUGGUCCCCUCCUCAAAGCCCGGAAACCACUAUUCUGUUUUCUGUUCCCAUGAAUUUGACCAUUCUUCAUUUACAGAAGUUGGAGAAUUUUUGGUUGUAUGUGUGUGUGUAUUCUGCACAUUUUUGUGUGUGGGUUUGUAUGUGUGCGUGCUCAGAAGCCAAAGAAUCACCUGGGGUGUGGUUCCUCGGGAAUAUGGACCACCUUUUCCCCUUCCUCCUUCCCUCCCUUCCCCUCUCUUUCUUUCGUUCUUCUUCCUUCCUUUCUUUUUCUUUUCCUUUUCCUUUUUGUUUUUUUGAGACACGGUCUCUCAUAAUUUCCAACUCCUUAAACUACAAAUUCAAACUCAUCAAACACUGGCUAGUGGUUUUGAUAUCUGCUCUAUUUUUUGUUUGUUCGUUCGUUUGUUUGUUUCCAUCAAUUUGACCUCUGGGUUCCUCCUAUAAGUAGAAUCAUAUUAUAUUUGUAAAGAUCAAUUUUUAAAGUUUUCUGUAGUUAAGGAUACAGCUAAGUAGAGCACUUGCCGUAUGAAGCUGUAGGUACAACACAGAGGG